AUUGGUGAUAUUUGCGAAGUGGUUCACCUGUUCCCAUACCGAACACAGAAGUUAAGCACUUCAGCGCCGAAGAUAGUGAUUAUUUGCUAAAAUAGGUCGUUGCCAAUA
rfam:Clostridium sp. CAG:302 genomic scaffold, scf40